rnacentral:lncRNA from 1 species
UUUUUUCUUUUUUUUUUUUUUUUUUUGCCAAGAUGAAGGCCUGAUAAGGAUCUUCACCAGCAGCUGACCCUCAGUGUUCCCUAAAGCCAAUAGAAACUAUGAUCAACCUCAGAAUGAAUCUGUUUAGGAGACGGAUGAGGGAGGGAAGCCACAGACUAUAACAUCUUGGAAAUCAACAACUUCCUCUUCUAAAUUUUUGUAGGACCAGGCACCUUCCUUCCUCAUUACUCAGAUUGUCUGAAAGAAGCACAUCUUUUUGUCUCACAGCAUUACUUCUUUCCACCUCCAGCUCUCAUUAUCAGGUUUAGGCUGAUUCUAUGAAAAGAAAGGUGGAUAAAAGGAUUUUCAGUUGCAGCAGGAUAAUUUGGUAGCUGAAAGCCUGACAGCCAUGUAUUGGAAGUUAUUCACCACAUACCUCCUAUUCCAGCACCACAGCCAACUACAUACAGUUGUCUAAGGCUGACCAGGUAGUAAAGGAUGAAGCUGGGAAAACCAGUAUCAACAUCCCACAGGUGAACUGUACAUUUUAUUCUUUUUAAAUUUGGUAAUUUAUUAAGCCUAAAUAAUCAGAUGCACAAGACUGUCUUUUCAGCAUGACUGUUAAGUCCACUACCGAUCUCUGCUGGAAUCCCUUCAUCACAAUGCAUAAAGCUGAUGUAAAAUGAAGGAGAGCAGUGAGGAAGGGUAUUUCCAGGAAAGGUUGUUAGAUGGCUGACAAGAGAUCUGCAAAGAAGGAGACAUUUUCUUUGGUAAUUUAGCCUCAUUCCUUGGUCCUGUCUUCAACAUUACAUGUCUAGAAACUACAAGUGAAUCAUUCUUUUGGGGACAGACUCACAUUAACCAGUAUUACAUAAGCCUGAUGUACGAGUCAGAAUACCAACAUGCUACUCAUUAAAAGUUAAUGCAACAAGUUGGCACAUUCUCUUCCCUAGACAAACACCUCUAUGGGAAGCCAAAUUUUAACCCAAGACCCAAAGACUCCCAAGUGCAAGACCAAGAGUCUUGGUCAGCAGGAAUCACCAAGAGGAACUGAUGGAUGAUCAGUUCAUCCAUCAGUUGCUGGGCAAUCUUAGCCACUAGUGCUGUCACACGCAGUUCCUCAAAGAAGCAGGGAUGGAGAGCUAGGACAUUCCAAGACCUGGACUGGGAACUGCACAAUCCACUGUUGGCUCACUGUGGGGAUUGGAAUGGGGACCCAAGAGACCAGAACUUGACAUGGAGGAGUACCAGUCCAGAACCAGGUAUACUAUCCAAACUGAGUCCCCAGAGAAAUCCCCGGAGGAGAGUUGCAAACACAAAGCUACUUGUGAAGUCAGAGAAACGUGGGCAAUGGGAAAGAUGGUCUAACUAAAGAGGAAAGAAGCUGUGUUAACCACUCUUUGUUGAUUUCCUGUAGUCACAAUUAAAUACAUAUGAAGACACAGAUUUGGAGAAAAGCAAUCCAGGCUAGGCACGGUGACUCAACGCCAGUAAUCCCAGCAGUUUGGGAGGCCGAGGCGGGCGGAUCACCUGAGGUCAGGAGUUGUUCGAGACCAGCCUGGCCAACAUGGUGAAACUCCAUCUCUACCAAAAAUACAAAAAUUAGCUGGGCAUGGUGGCGGACACCUGUAAUCUCAGCUACUUGGGAGGCUGAGGCAGGAGAAUCGCUUGAACCCAGGAGGCGGAGGUUGCAGUCAGUAGAGAAUGCACCAUUGUACUCUAGCCUGGGAGACGGAGCGAGACUCUAUGUAGAAAGAAAAAAAAAAAAA